rnacentral:lncRNA from 1 species
CACCUCUCUUGAUGGUUCGGACAUGUAGUACUGAAAAUAGAACUGGGCUGUAUCCCCAAGGUUGCCAUUAGAUGCACACCUGCUGUGGAAAUGAAGUAUAUUUCAUAAAAUGUGUCCGCAUGAAAUUUAGCAUUUUGCAACACAGGGCCAGUGUAACAAAGCUUGACUAAGUUCUUGUAUAGAAGAUCUACACAAAAUAAAAAAACAAGGCAAAACAAGAAGUUGAGAUCAGGAGACCCUACACAUUUAUAUUAUUAAUUCAUGAUAUUAUUUAGAUAUCCUUCGAAAUCCACUCUGGUAUUGUGGAGAGGAGUUGCCUAGGCGACAAUGACGCCGCCAUUCAAACCGCGCAGCAUGGCAUGUUGGGAUAUCUUUUUCCAUCAUGGCGGAACAGUUGGUUGCUAACGUUAACGGGUAGCAUAUUCAACGAUUGUUUGGCACAUUUUAGGAUUCUAGCCAUCUGGAAAUUACUACACAAGGACUGCAGCCAGCAAAUAUAAACUGGGCAAUUACAUACUAGUGUCAAGUGAGGAAGCGGUGCACCAGUGACAUUAAGAGGGCCUUUAUUUGGGGUGUCAGCACAAUGGAAUGUGCAGUGGACAUCCCCUCAGGUGAGGAUGAGACACCUGAGAAAGAUGACUUGAAUGCAAAGGAAAUGAAUGAACUGCCCCAUAAGAAAAACAAGAAGCACAGAAAACACAAGAGCAAGAAGAAGAAGAGGAGGAGGAAGGGGGAAAAGGAGAGCAGUUCAGAAUCUGGUGCUGAGUCUGACGUAGAACCACCACCUCCACUGAGACCUGUCAGGACCACCAGAGCCAGCGCCAGACUAGCAGCAGCUGCAGGAGCUGGAGAUCAUGCUGGGUUGAAGGAGGAGUGUAAAAGGGAUGUAACAACAGACCAUGUGGAUCAUGUGGAGGGAGAUGUAAAAUCCAAAAAACACAAAAGACAUGCUGCCAAAAAGAAGAAAAAGAAGAAGAAGAAAGAUGAAAAGCAGGAAAAAAAAUCUCCAUCUCACUCGCCAUCUGAAAGCAGCUCAGCUUCGGGUUCUGAGUCUGAAGGUCAAGGAGGUAAAGGGUCUGCUGAUGGGAAAUACUCUCCAGCUACAGCAUCUGACCUGCAAGAAUCAGUAUCCAAACUGAGUUCAAAAAGUAAACGAGGGGAGGAGAAGGGAGUUCCGAUCAUUACUCAGAAACCUGAAUUGCUUAUGGUGAAGAAUGAACAGAUAUCAGAUAUGGAUGUCCCCCAGACUGGAGUGAAGAGCAGUAACACCAAUGGAUCAGAAAAAGACAUGGGGUUGACCCCUGCAGGCCAAGAUGAGAUAGCAAGGGUUAAGACAGAGGCUUGUCAUGGAGAUGGUGCAUUCAGUUUUGCCCAGGAACUGCCAGACAUCAUCCCUAAACAGGAAGGUGCUACCUCAAGAGAUGAUCCAGGCUUGAAAGAUGACGUUAUUUCAGCUCAGAGAGCAAAGGCCAGGGAAUGUGAUACUCCCAGGUCCAGGUCUCCUUCUUUUUCCAGAGAUCUUCACAUUAAGAAAUCUGGCUCUGAUCAUAGUCCAUCGCCAACAUCUAGUCCCAGUAGACAUCAGUCUGGUUCUCAGACAGAAACAGAAAUGAAAGAACAGUUACAAACUCAUUCCAAGUCAACCUCAAAGGAAAAAAGGUCUUCAACACCUGUGAUGAUUCAGCAGCUGUCCUGCUCUCAGUCUCCAAAAGCUACGUGGAAAUCACCCUCUCCUCCUCCCAAGUCUCCCAAAAGAGCUAGCGGCCAAUCCCGGUCCACAUCUCCUUCCGUCACCCCCAAGAAGAAGGUGCCAAAGUCUCAGAGGAAGUCUAAGUCUCCUAAACGUCGUAGCAGUUCUAUGUCUGCUUCCCCAAAGAGACGGCGUAGUUCCCUCUCUCCUAAAAGAAAAGUGUCAAGAUCACCGAAACACAGCAGUCGCAGGUCUCCCUCGCUAUCUCGUUCUCCAAGGAGAAGUCGAAGGUCAGAGUCACGUUCUCGUGGAGGCACAAGGCGCUCCAAAACCCGCUCACCUAGACGAGGUGGUGCUGCUGGCAGGCGUUCACGGUCACGUUCGAUCACUAGAACUCGGCGCUCCCACUCUAGAUCCAAGCGGCCUGUUCGUCGCUCCGUUUCACGGCCAACAGUAAGGCGCGCAGGAGGGAGGCGCUCCAGGAGUCGAUCCUUAUCUCGCCGUAGGAGGUCACCACCACCCAGAUCCCGCCGCUCACGCUCACGGUCGAUCCGCAGGAGCAGGAGGACUCGAUCACGGUCUGCUGUUGUCCUUAAGCGUAGUCGACGCUCCAGAUCCAGGAGUCCACGCAAACGAACCAAAUCCAGAAGUCCUCCCUCUCGGCGGCGGUCUAAAUCCAGGUCCCCAGUCAGAAGACGCUCUCGGUCCACUGCCAGGAGAAAUCGUUCUCCACUAAGAUCCAGCAAACGCUCCAAAUCUCCUUCAUUGUCUCGAAGACACCGGUCAAAGUCGCACACACCACUUCCUAGUAAGAGGAGAUCCAAAUCUCCCAAGAAGAGUACAAGAAGAUCAAAGUCGAAAUCCUUCUCUGCAGGCUUGAACAGGUCAAAGUCCAGGUCUGUGUCAAGUGAUGGGCAGUCUGACAGCUCCUCCCUAGUCAGAUCCACAUCUUCUUCUCCUGUUAAAGCAAACAAAGCCUCUCCUAAAGCAGAGGAGACACCUGAAGAAGCUGGUGCUUCAGCCACAGCAGGUGGUUGGAAAGCCGUGUCCUCCGAACCUGCCUUCAGCCACCAAGCUGGGAGCUCCUCAGAGCAGUUGCAAGAACAAGUUGCCCCCCCUGACAAGGAGCAAAUGGAGCAUACCAGUUCGUCCAAUGGACGUGACGUCUCCAGGUCCAGAUCUGCUUCACAAGAGCCAAACCCAGAGGGGUCUGAUUGUUCGGAUGGUUCAGGUGAAGAAGAGGAUUCUUCCUCUCCAGUAAAAACAAUAUCUAAAUGCCAGAGAAGCUCCUCAGGUUCCGCAUCUCCAGAAGUGCAGAAGCAGCUUUCCAAGUCACAAUCUCCCACAGAUCAAGGGAAACUUUCACGCUCAACUUCAUCACCUCGACGGUCAACAUCCAAGUCUACGUCUAGAAGGAAGCAGUCUAGGUCCAAAUCUCCAGUGAGAAAGAGAGCAUCUCUAUCUCCAUCAGAAAGGAAGAAGCGAAGGUCAAAAUCUCGGAGUCCUGGCCGGCGGCGACGGUCACGCUCACGUUCCACCACGCGACGAAAGCGUUCAUCCUCCAGGUCGCGAACCAAGAUCCGUCGAUCCAAGUCUCGCUCUCCAGCCCGCAAGAGGAGAUCCCGAACUCGUUCACCCAAUGCCCGAGGGAGGAGGAGGUCCAAGUCUAUAGACAGGAGCAAGAGGUCCAAGAGUCGCUCUGCAGGCCGGAGAAAAAGAUCCAGGUCAGGAGAAAGGAGCAGACGAUCUAGAUCUCGUUCCUCUGAUCGUAGACGCAGGUCUAGGUCGAGGGGUCGAGGGAGGCGCCCAGUGUUUCGCAGUCGUUCAUUCGAUAGACGGGACAGGUGGAAGAGGGAGCCUAGUCACUCUCCAGUUCUCAUCCUCCGCAAGCAGCGACGCUCAGGGUCCCGGGCACGGCGCAGCACCAGCAAGACUCCUCCACGGCUGACUGAAUUGGAUAAGGACCAGUUGCUGGAGAUAGCAAAGGCUAAUGCUGCUGCUAUGUGUGCUAAGGCAGGGGUUCCCAUUCCUGAGAGUCUUCGGCCAAAAGCUAUCCUCCAACUCCCUCUACCCACUCCAUCUCCUACACCCCUUUCCUUACCUCUACCUUUACCUCUCCCAAUGGGUAUGGGGAUGCCCAACAUGCCUAAUAUGCCCAACAUGGGUCCAAUGGGACUACCCAGUAUUCCAGGAAUGCCCAGCAUGUCAAACAUCACCAUGAGUGCCGCUAUGGCAAGUAUGACAGCAGCUACUAUGACAGCUGCCUUGACCAACAUGGGUGCCCUGGCCGCAAUGCCCCCCCUUGCCCCACUUCCAACCAUCACCAACAAGCCUCCCCCGUGCCUCGCUCCUCCAGCCCCAUCUCUUAACCUGGACCACAUUGAGGAAGCCAAAAGGAAGGUCACUCAGCAAGCCAACAUUCACACCAUCAAAGAGCUUACUGAGAAGUGUAAGAUGAUUGCAAAUAGCAAGGAGGAGAUGGCCAUUGCUAAACCCCACGUCUCAGAUGAUGAAAGCUAAAACCGCCAAGCCCUUGUGCCACUCCCAUCAAAGGACUGAAGGAAAAUGUAAAAAAUGCUUUACUGGUGGACGAACUUUUCCACAGUUCCCUUUGGCAGCCAGAUAACUUGACUGAGCCUCACAAACCACCAGUAUGAAGAGGAGCACCCUAGUUGUCACAGCUAUAAUAUUGGAGCACUGGCACCAGUUACUGCCCCACUCUCUUCCCAGUUUGUUUCUAUUUGUGUGAGAGAGCGAAAGAUUGGCAGACUGUCACCUGUGAUACCACUGAGAAAACUGGACACACUGACAGGUGUGCACAGUCGAAUGACUGAAUAGUGAGUACAGUGAGUGUGUAUAUAGUGAUUUUGAUCAUCAACUCCUCAGUGUUGCUUGUUCAGCAGUCACUGUUGUAAAGACUGAAGAGGAAACAAACCAAACUAACUAGUGGCGCAAGUGUUUUUGUAAAAGAUUAGUUUCUCUGGAUUUGGAUUAAUUUUAUGCUUUCUUAAAGGAUUGUGUUAAGUUGAGACUGCUUCAAUGUUCUGCUGUAUACCCUCAGUUAUCUGUAGUCCCUGAUUUUAUAAACAAAUAAUGCAGACAAAGCCUGGUUCUCUUGGGCAAGAUAGUGUUGACAUCGUAAUUCCUUGAACAGAGUGCCGGAUCUGAUUAUUUUUGAAGGAAGGGAAUGAUAAUGGCUGCAAUAAGGUUUUGAAUUUUAACAAAGAUUACCAUCUCCACUCACAAAACAUACCUAAUUUGGUUAGUAAUGCCCUGGGUGUGAUUUUUCUUUCCCUCUGUUGUAAAUGGCACCAAGCAAAUCUUUGGCUCUCACCUUUUGUUUGGGUGUUGUUGGGGUAUUUUUUUUCAACUAGGAAACGUGUUUGCUGAAGAUUCUAAUGGCCAUUUAAUGUACCACAGUUAUAACACCAGUCUCCUAACAUCCAUCUUUGUAUGUUUUACAGAAGACUAUAGUACACUUUGAGAUGCACAGAAAACAUUACUUUGAAUUACAUUUGCAUUUUAAAACUAAAAGACUUGUUGUUCAGUGCACACAUUUGAAAUGUCUGUUUUAUUUGUCAUCCAAGUUUGACUUUAUGAAAGCAGUUCUAGUUUUGGCUAUCACAAAACCUGAGACCAGAGCAGUCUGGUUGACUGGUCUUUGAACCUUCAAACCUAAUGUAUAGCUAAUUUCAUGAUAAGAAACCAGGGGUAAAAAUGCAGAUCUCCUUAAACUGUAUACAGAGAUCAUAAUUACUUGUUUUAAAGAACAUUCUAUUUCAUUGUGUGACAGCACACAAACUGUUUAGUUUGUCAAUACAGAGCCGUUUGCUUUUCUGUCAUUUACAUUAUUAAAAGAUGAUGUUGGAGUCUUUUUUUUUUUUUUUUUUUUUUUUUAAAGAGGCACGCUUGGAGAACAAAACUUUUGCUAUUUCACUGGAGGUGACAAAUACCCUGUCCUUAUAGGGUUGACUAUAGAAAGUUGAGAUUGCCCCGAGGUGACAUUAACCGUUCUUGUGUGUUAGACAAUCAGAUUUUUUUUUAUUUUUUUAAACAUUUUUAAAGAACCACAUAAAAUGUAAUCGUAUUGCAACUUUCUAACCAAGCAGCAAACCGGAGAAGUGUUAUUGGGAACAACAUACAUAGUAAUGCGCAGACAUAUUAAAACUCCAACAAGCCCUUUUCAUUCAAUCUACUGAGGUGGUUUAUUCAAUGUUUCUUAUAAAUACUGGUCCUCAUAAAUACUGGCCUGUAAAACCUGGCCUGUAUUUGGCCCUUUAUGUGAGCUGAGUCCAGGGUCCAUGUUUUCUGUAACCCUUUGUCCCAUUGGAUAACUGAAGAACAAAGACAAACUUGGUGCUUUUUUGGAAACUGGCAGGGAUGAGUUUCUUUUUCUUUUUUUUUUAUGGAAUCUUGCAUUCGUAAUUCAUUUAUUUUCAGUGUAAAAAGAAAUGACGGUCUACCCUCCUGUGUCACCCACCCAUGCCCAGGGCUGUAUCAUUGUUAAAGAUGAUCUUUGAAGGUUAUGUCAAACUGUAACUAUACAGACUCUGUAUCAAAAGUGUUGAACUGUUUUUGAAUUGAUUCCCUGAGGUAAUCUUUAGCAAUUUUAAUGAAAAAAAGAAGAAAAUGCAUUUUAGGAUUAUUUUUUGUUUUUGGUUGUUUGAAUAGGACACUGCUUGCUUUGUACAUAAAUGUGUUGAUGAUUAUUAAAACCUCAAUGAUCUGUAAAUAUGUGUGUCGUGUGCUGUAUUCACUUUAGUUAGGCUGAUAUUGCAUCAGUGUAAAUUAUAUUGAAUUCCUGUUAGAAAGAAGAAGAG